AUUAAACGCUGGCGGCAGGCCUAACACAUGCAAGUCGAGCGUGAAAGUCCUUCGGGAUGAGUAAAGCGGCGGACGGGUGAGUAACGCGUAGGAAUCUACCUAGUAGUGGGGGAUAACGUUUCGAAAGGAACGCUAAUACCGCAUACGUUCUGAGGAAGAAAGCAGGGGAUCGCAAGACCCUGCGCUAUUAGAUGAGCCUGCGUCCGAUUAGCUAGUUGGUGGGGUAAAGGCCUACCAAGGCGACGAUCGGUAACUGGUCUGAGAGGAUGAUCAGUCACACUGGAACUGAGACACGGUCCAGACUCCUACGGGAGGCAGCAGUGGGGAAUAUUGGACAAUGGGGCAACCCUGAUCCAGCCAUGCCGCGUGUGUGAAGAAGGCCUUCGGGUUGUAAAGCACUUUCGACUGGGACGAAAAACCUUUGGCUAACAUCCAGGGGCCUGACGGUACCAGGAGAAGAAGCACCGGCUAACUCUGUGCCAGCCGCCGCAGUAA
rnacentral:rRNA from 1 species